AUGAAGCAGGUGACAAAAGUGACUGUGCUUCUGAUCUUGGGCACUGGAAGCCUUGCUAAGACCACUCAGCCCUUCUCCAUGGACUCCUAUGAGGGACAAGGAGUGAACUUGUCCUGUACCCACCCCAACAUUGCUACAAAUGAGUACAUCUUCUGGUACCGACAAGUCCACCACCAGGGACCACAGUUUGUGAUUCAAGGAUAUAAAACAAAUGUGGCCAAUGAAGUGGCAUCUCUGUUUAUCCCUAAUGAUAGGAAGUCCAGCACCCUGAGGCUGCCCCAGGCUGCUCUGGAAGACUCUGCUGUGUACUACUGCAUUGUGGGUGCUGCACAGAGAGACAUCUGGCCCUGCACCUGCGCAGAAUCCCUCUGCUGGGUGGCAAUCACUCCAGGAAGGAAGACCCAAAGCAUCUAA